GUCCUCAUAGCUCAAAGGAUAGAGCGCCGGCUUGCGGAGCCUGAAAUAGAGGUUCAAUUCCUCUUGAGGACA
rnacentral:tRNA from 1 species